AUUGAACGCUGGCGGCAUGCUUUACACAUGCAAGUCGAGCGGCAGCGCGGGGGCAACCCUGGCGGCGAGCGGCGAACGGGUGAGUAAUGCAUCGGAACGUAUCCCGGAGUGGGGGAUAACCUAUCGAAAGGUGGGCUAAUACCGCAUGAGCUCUGAGGAGGAAAGCGGGGGACCGAAAGGCCUCGCGCUGUGGGAGCGGCCGAUGUCCGAUUAGCUAGUUGGUGGGGUAAAGGCCUACCAAGGCGACGAUCGGUAGCUGGUCUGAGAGGAUGAUCAGCCACACUGGAACUGAGACACGGUCCAGACUCCUACGGGAGGCAGCAGUAGGGAAUAUUGGACAAUGGGCGCAAGCCUGAUCCAGCCAUGCCGCGUGAGUGAAGAAGGCCCUCGGGUUGUAAAGCUCUUUUGUCCGGAAAGAAAAGCACUGGGUUAAUACCCCGGUGUCCUGACGGUACCGGAAGAAUAAGCACCGGCUAACUUCGUGCCAGCAGCCGCGGUAA
rnacentral:rRNA from 1 species